GACGAACGCUGGCGGCGUGCCUAACACAUGCAAGUCGAGCGAAUGAAGUUCCUUCGGGAAUGGAUUUAGCGGCGGACGGGUGAGUAACACGUGGGCAACCUGCCUCAUAGAGGGGAAUAGCCUUCCGAAAGGGAGAUUAAUACCGCAUAAGAUUGUAGUAUCGCAUGAUACAGCAAUUAAAGGAGCAAUCCGCUAUGAGAUGGGCCCGCGGCGCAUUAGCUAGUUGGUGAGGUAACGGCUCACCAAGGCGACGAUGCGUAGCCGACCUGAGAGGGUGAUCGGCCCCAUUGGGACUGAGCCCCGCCCCAGACUCCCCCGGGGGGCAGCAGGGGGGAAUUUGGCACAAGGGGGGAAACCCUGAGGCCGCACCGCCGCGUGGGUGAUGACGGCCUUCGGGUUGUAAACCUCUUUCUCAAGGGACGAUAAUGCCGGUACCGGAGGAGGAAGCCCCGGCUACCUCCGG
rnacentral:rRNA from 1 species